rnacentral:siRNA from 1 species
AACUUAUGGCACAACUACGGCU